UACGAAGGGGACUAGCGUUGUUCGGAAUUACUGGGCGUAAAGCGCGUGUAGGCUGCUUCGCAAGUCGGAUGUGAAAGCCCUGGGCUCAACCCAGGAAGUGCAUUCGAAACUGCAGAGCUGGAGUCCUGGAGAGGAAGGCGGAAUUCUCGGUGUAGAGGUGAAAUUCGUAGAUAUCGAGAGGAACACCGGUGGCGAAGGCGGCCUUCUGGACAGUGACUGACGCUGAGACGCGAAAGCGUGGGGAGCAAACAGG
rnacentral:rRNA from 1 species